GAUGAACGCUAGCGGCAGGCCUAAUACAUGCAAGUCGAGGGGUAGAAGAGGCUUGCUUCUUUGAGACCGGCGCACGGGUGCGUAACGCGUAUGCAACCUACCUUCAUCUGGGGGAUAGCCCGGAGAAAUCCGGAUUAAUACCGCAUAAAAUCACAGGAUGGCAUUAUCCAAUGAUCAAACAUUUAUGGGAUGGAGAUGGGCAUGCGCGCCAUUAGCUAGUUGGCGGGGUAACGGCCCACCAAGGCGACGAUGACUAGGGGAUCUGAGAGGAUGGCCCCCCACACUGGUACUGAGACACGGACCAGACUCCUGCGGGAGGCAGCAGUAAGGAAUAUUGGUCAAUGGAGGCAACUCUGAACCAGCCAUGCCGCGUGCAGGAAGACUGCCCUAUGGGUUGUAAACUGCUUUUAUUCGGGAAUAAACCUUAUUACGUGUAAUAAGCUGAAUGUACCGAAGGAAUAAGGAUCGGCUAACUCCGUGCCAGCAGCCGCGGUAA
rnacentral:rRNA from 1 species